UACGAAGGGGGCUAGCGUUGCUCGGAAUCACUGGGCGUAAAGGGUGCGUAGGCGGGUCUUUUAAGUCAGGGGUGAAAUCCUGGAGCUCAACUCCAGAACUGCCUUUUGAUACUGAGGAUCUUGAGUUCGGGAGAGGUGAGUGGAACUGCGAGUGUAGGAGGUGAAAUUCGUAGAUAUUCGCAAGAACACCAGUGGCGAAGGCGGCUCACUGGCCCGAUACUGACGCUGAGGCACGAAAGCGUGGGGAGCAAACAGG
rnacentral:rRNA from 1 species